GGGGAAUAACAUGUCUUUGACAUCUCUGCAGAUCCUGGUAAGUGAGGCGGUGCAGACCCAUGGAUUGUCCUUUGCUACAUGUUUAUAGUGUGAACUUCCAGUCCAUCUGCCCAUACAGCCAUCUGCAAAAACACCAGGGACACAGCUGGGAGAAAUAAAAGCUAAGUGCAAGUGAUAAAACCAGUUUUGACUCCAGUGUGCAGAUUUGUACCCCCUGAGCUAGGAAAUGUGGAUGUUUGAAAUCCAGCAGCAAUUCCUGCCUCUCUUGUGUUAUGUAGAGAGCAAAGGCACAGUGGGAGAGAGGAAGGAAAGAUACAUUCAGGUACAGAUGAAGGACAGAUGA
ensembl:lncRNA